rnacentral:tRNA from 1 species
GCCCUGAUAGUAUAAUCAUUACCUUGGUCUUGUAAACCAAAAAUGAAGAUUAACUCUUCUCAAGGCA